rnacentral:tRNA from 1 species
GGCUGGUUAGUUCACUCAGUAAAGCGUAGCGCUACCAAUGCUAAGGUUGCGGGUUCAAUUCCCGUUCGGUCC